rnacentral:rRNA from 1 species
GACAGAGGUGCCAAGCGUUAGGCGGAAUCACUGGGCUUAAAGCGUGUGUAGGCGGAUGUCUAAGUACCUUGUGAAAUCCCACGGCUCAACCGUGGAACUGCUUGGUAUACUGGAUGUCUUGAGCCAUCUAGGGGCUACCGGAACAAAUGGUGGAGCGGUGAAAUGCGUAGAUAUCAUUUGGAACACCAAUGGUGAAAACAGGUAGCUGGGGAUGUGCUGACGCUGAGACACGAAAGCCAGGGGAGCAAACGGG